GGGGCUGUGGCUCAGUGGUAGAGCACUUGCCUGGCAAAUGUGAGGCACUGGGUUCAAUUCUCAGCAACACAU
rfam:Ictidomys tridecemlineatus contig030321, whole genome shotgun sequence.